CUCUGAGGAAGCACAGUUCCCGCUCAGCCCAGUCAAAACUGUUCGCUGCUCUGGCACCCCAAUGGUGGAACAAGCUCCUAUUGCUCAGUUUGGCUGGGCGGCCAGCUCUAGGAAGAGUCUCGGUGGUUCCAAACUUCUUCCAUUUAAGAAUGAUGGAGGCCAAUGUGUUCUUGGGGACCUUCAAUGUUGCAGACAUUUUUUGGUACCCUUCUCCAGAUCUGUGCCUUGACACAAUCCUGUCUCGGAGCUCAACAGACAAUUCCUUUGAUCUCAUGGUUUGGGUUCUGCUCUGACAUGCACUGUCAACUAUGGGACCUUAUAUAGACAGGUGUGUGCCUUUCCAAAUCAUGUCCAAUCAAUUGAAUUUACCACAGGUGGACUCUAAUCAAGUUGUACAAACAUCUCAAGGAUGAUCAAUGGAAACAGGAUGCACCUGAGCUCAAUUUCGAGUCUCAUAGCAAAGGGUCUGAAUACUUAUGUAAAUAAGGGUUAGGACUGUAACCACCAGAGGACUUGAAAAUGAGCUGGGGCAGAGAGGAUCACCAAAACUAUAGGUAUUUUGGUUUCAUGUGUAGGCAUACUGUGUAAUAAAAUAGAUUAUUGUGUACUAAAAACAUGAAUGUGUUUUUGCAGAGCAUACAACCAUGCCAACAACCAUCCUUGGAGAUCAGUGGACAAAGGGCUGGACAACAGGCCGCACCGAAAAAACGCAUGGUUCCACAGAAUACCAACUGGAAUGAAUCCUGAGGCAAAUGUGGCUUCUUCAUCAACAUCUUUAAGCUUUCGUUAAUAAACUAAUGAUACAAAUACUGUCUCCAGCUUUGAUCCAUCUGGGUUGGCGACCCCCCUUGGGUUGUGCCGUGGCGGAGAUCUUUGUGGGCUAUAGUCGGCCUUGUCUCAGGAUGGUAAGUUGAUGGUUGAAGAUAUCCCUCUAGUGGUGUGGGGGCUGUGCUUUGGCAAAGUGGGUGGGAUUAUAUCCUGCCUGUUUGGCCCUAUCCGGGGGUAUCAUCGGAUGGGGCCACAGUGUCUCCUGACCCCUCCUGUCUCAGCCUCCAGUAUUUAUGCUGCAGUAGUUUAUGUGUCGGGGGGCUAGGGUCAGUCUGUUAUAUCUGGAGUAUUUCUCCUGUCUUAUCUGGUGUCCUGUGUGAAUUUAAGUAUGCUCUCUCUAAUUCUCUUUUUCUCUCUUUCUUUCUCUCUCUCGGAGGACCUGAGCCCUAGGACAAUGCCUCAGGACUACCUGGCAUGAUGAAUCCUUGUUGUCCCCAGUCUACCUGGCCAUGCAGCUGCUCCAGUGUCAGCUGUUUUGUCUGCGGCUAUGGAACCCUGACCUGUUCACUGUGAUUACUAUUAUUUGGUAAUUUAUGAACAUUUCAACAUCUUGGCCAUGUUCUGUUAUAAUCUCCACCCGGCACAGCCAGAAGAGGACUGGCCACCCCUCAUAGCCUGGUUCCUCUCUAGGUUUCUUCCUAGGUUUUGGCCUUUCUAGGGAGUUUUUCCUAGCUACCGUGCUUCUACACCUGCAUUGCUUGCUGUUUGGGGUUUUAGGCUGGGUUUCUGUACAGCACUUUGAGAUAUCAGCUGAUGUAAUAAGGGCUAUAUAAAUACAUUUGAUUUGAUUUGUGUGUGUGUGCAUGCAUGCGUAAGAUGAGCUGAGGUUGGUACAGAUGGGGGUCUCCCCUGCUAUAACUCACUGUAAGGACUGUAUGAAGUCCGAGCGUGACAUUAUAGGACAGUCCACCGACGGCGAUCUGAACAG
rnacentral:lncRNA from 1 species